rnacentral:rRNA from 1 species
NUCCUGGUGUCUAUGGCGGUAUGGAACCACUCUGACCCCAUCCCGAACUCAGUUGUGAAACAUACCUGCGGCAACGAUAGCUCCCGGGUAGCCGGUCGCUAAAAUAGCUCGACGCCAGGUC